rnacentral:rRNA from 1 species
UACGUAGGGUGCGAGCGUUAAUCGGAAUUACUGGGCGUAAAGCGUGCGCAGGCGGUUGUGCAAGCCGGAUGUGAAAUCCCCGGGCUCAACCUGGGAAUGGCAUUCGGGACUGCAAGGCUGGAGUGCGGCAGAGGAGACUGGAAUUCCUGGUGUAGCAGUGAAAUGCGUAGAUAUCAGGAGGAAUACCGAUGGCGAAGGCAGGUCUCUGGGCUGACACUGACGCUCAUGCACGAAAGCGUGGGGAGCAAACAGG